rnacentral:lncRNA from 1 species
UUCUUUUAAGCACCCCAAAGAAGCUCGCGUGUCCCCAUACCAGAUGAAGGUGAAUUAUUUUUAGUGCUUUUCUUGAAGUGACACAAGAAAGUCUAAGAUUGCAUAAUACAGUUGAGACAGCACUGUCCUUAACAUGACAUGACAUAACAUGACAUAACAUGAUAUAACGCCAACCCUUCACUUUCAUUGUCAUUCCAUUAUUCUGAUUAUGCUGUCCAUUGUCAUUUCAGGUGUUCACUAUGCUAUUGUGAAGCUAGGGUGAACUGCCGAGGCACAACAGAGAGAAUGUAACUCUAGAGCCGUCGGAGGACGUGGUGACAGAGAAGAGCAUCCUGCCCUCAUCUCCAUGGUAACAGCUGUUUAUGGAUGGGGGCUGCCAGAAACAAAACCCUA